rnacentral:rRNA from 1 species
UACGGGGGGGGGCAAGCGUUGUUCGGAAUUACUGGGCGUAAAGGGCUCGUAGGCGGCCAACUAAGUCGGACGUGAAAUCCCCAGGCUCAACCUGGGAACUGCAUCCGAUACUGGAUGGCUUGAAUUCGGGAGAGGGAUGCAGAAUUCCAGGUGUAGCGGUGAAAUGCGUAGAUAUCUGGAGGAAUACCGGUGGCGAAGGCGGCAUCCUGGACCGACAUUGACGCUGAGGAGCGAAAGCCAGGGGAGCCAAACGGGAUU